rnacentral:lncRNA from 1 species
GGCGAGAGGAGUGGUGUCACCAUGGAGAUGCGGAGGCGAAGGGUCUGAGUCACGGUGUCAUGCAGGUGCUUCUGCGGGGGAGAUUCAAACACCCUAAUUUUUGUUUUACGAUUCGUGCAUGAAUGCACCGGCCCCUAAAGGUUGUCCCAGGUGAACUACCAUAAGGGGUAACAUGUCUUCACCCCUCAUGACUGCUGCUAUCCUCCACCAGCGCUCUCAUAGCAUCAUGGUCACAGUCAGCAGACGUUUGCAGCAAAACAGCCCUAAUGGAUCCACUGUUCACCACCUGCUCAUGGUGAGGAUGUAUUUUAGGUCAUUUUUUUGCAUUUUGAGUAUAAAAGUUGAAAAGUCGCUAAUAAAAUUGUGCUAAAUCAGAGAAAUUUAAUUUUUUGCAUUCAACAUAUUGCGAAUAAAGCCCAAAAUGUGCAGAACAAACUUGAAAUUUCCAGACAAAAGUCAAAGAACAUAUCAAACUACUAGUGUUAGGGUCUUUGAAGAGACAGUGUCUGUUCAGAAGGAGCUUGGGAAGAUGGAACACUGGCGGGUCACAAGGCUGUCAGUCGCUCCUCUAACUGGGAUUUGACGGACCAGAGGAGUCGACUUUAUUCGAAAUGCAAAAAAAAAUAUUCCUUUGACUUAGUUUGACUUUAUUCUUGACAUUUCAUCUUUAUCCUCUAGAUUUUCACUUUUAUUCUAGACAUGCCAAAGGAUUUUUUUUC